UGACCUUGAUUGACAUUUGCACUAGUAGACAAUCCAUUAGCUAAGUGAGGGAUGGUCUAAGCGAAGAUAACACAACAAGGCCUAUUAAUGAUAGAUGACAAGAUCCCAUAAAGGAAGAAAGAAAACUGGCAAAAGUUUGGCCAUAGUGUGGUGAAGGAAGCUAAGCAACAGAAGUGGCAUCAAGGAAGAAGAAAAAGGAAGUGAGGAAAAAUCGAGAGAGGAGGAAAAAAUGAGGAACUGGAGUGAUCUCGAGUGUCUCGUGGAGUUCUUGGCUGGCAUAUUUGCCAACUAGAUCCAACGGCAACAGAUGGUUG
rnacentral:lncRNA from 1 species